GACGAACGCUGGCGGCGUGCUUAACACAUGCAAGUCGAACGCUGAAGCCCUGGCUUUUGUUGGGUUGGAUGAGUGGCGAACGGGUGAGUAACACGUGAGUAACCUGCCCUCUUCUUUGGGAUAACGCCCGGAAACGGGUGCUAAUACUGGAUAUUCACUGGCCUUCGCAUGGGGGUUGGUGGAAAGGUUUGUUCUGGUGGGGGAUGGGCUCGCGGCCUAUCAGCUUGUUGGUGGGGUGAUGGCCUACCAAGGCUUUGACGGGUAGCCGGCCUGAGAGGGUGACCGGUCACAUUGGGACUGAGAUACGGCCCAGACUCCUACGGGAGGCAGCAGUGGGGAAUAUUGCACAAUGGGCGAAAGCCUGAUGCAGCGACGCCGCGUGAGGGAUGGAGGCCUUCGGGUUGUAAACCCCUUUCGCUCAUGGUCAAGCCGCAACUGUGGGCUGUGGUGAGGGUAGUGGGUAAAGAAGCGCCGGCUAACUACGUG
rnacentral:rRNA from 1 species